CCUGUCUCACAGCAGCACAGCACUGAUCCCGCAUGGUGGAAGAAAGUUGACGGAGAAAUUAUAAUUUUAUUGAAAGGUAAUUCCAGAUAGAUAAAAACUGAUGACUGAUGAUUGAUGAUUGAUGAUUGAUGACUGAUGAUUGAUCGAUGACUGGACAUCGCCUAUAACGCAUGAAGGUAGUUCGGAAGACACUAUACUGUGAAAAUAUUGAAUAUAUCCGUCGUGCGCAGACACUCGGCGACGGUGUACAAACGAAUGCGGAGCUGAUCUGUGCGGUUUGCGACAAGACUGACAAGCUGUCGAUGUGCUCGCGUUGCUAAGUCGUCUUCUACUGCA